rnacentral:rRNA from 1 species
UACGUAGGGGGCAAGCGUUGUCCGGAUUUAUUGGGCGUAAAGAGCUCGUAGGCGGUUUGGCAAGUCGGAAGUUAAAACUGCAGGCUCAACCUGUAGUCGCUUUCGAAACUGCUAUGACUUGAAUCUGGUAGGGGAUGACGGAAUUCCUGGUGUAGCGGUGAAAUGCGCAGAUAUCAGGAGGAACACCAAUGGCGAAGGCAGUCAUCUGGGCCAGUAUUGACGCUGAGGAGCGAAAGCGUGGGGAGCGAACAGG